CCUACGGGUGGCAGCAGUCGAGAAUCAUUCACAAUGGGGGAAACCCUGAUGGUGCGACGCCGCGUGGGGGAAUGAAGGUCUUCGGAUUGUAAACCUCUUUUGUCGGGGAGCAAAGCCCGCCACGUGUGGCGGGAAGGAGAGUACCCGAAGAAAAAGCAUCGGCUAACUCCGUGCCAGCAGCCGCGGUAAUACGGAGGAUGCGAGCGUUAUCCGGAUUUAUUGGGUUUAAAGGGUGCGUAGGCGGAAGGUUAAGUCAGUGGUAAAAUGUCGGUGCAAAACACCGGCCGGCCGUUGAAACUGGUCUUCUUGAGUGAGCGAGAAGUAUGCGGAAUGCGUGGUGUAGCGGUGAAAUGCAUAGAUAUCACGCAGAACUCCGAUUGCGAAGGCAGCAUACCGGCGCUCAACUGACGCUGAGGCACGAAAGCGUGGGGAUCGAACAGGAUUAGAUACCCGGUAGUC
rnacentral:rRNA from 1 species